UGGGGAAUAUUGGACAAUGGGCGCAAGCCUGAUCCAGCCAUGCCGCGUGAGUGACGAAGGUCUUCGGAUUGUAAAACUCUUUUGGCGGGGACGAUAAUGACGGUACCCGCAGAAUAAGCCCCGGCUAACUUCGUGCCAGCAGCCGCGGUAAUACGAAGGGGGCUAGCGUUGUUCGGAAUCACUGGGCGUAAAGCGCACGUAGGCGGAUGUGCCAGUCAGGGGUGAAAUCCCGGAGCUCAACUCCGGAACUGCCUCUGAUACUGCACGUCUUGAGUUCGAGAGAGGUGGGUGGAAUUCCUAGUGUAGAGGUGAAAUUCGUAGAUAUUGGGAAGAACACCAGUGGCGAAGGCGGCUAACUGGUCCGGUACUGACGCUGGGGAGCGAAAGCCAGGGGAGCAAACGGGAUUAGAUACCCGUGUAGUCCCUGAGCGGGCUGGCAAGGCGCAU
rnacentral:rRNA from 1 species